rnacentral:rRNA from 1 species
AAGUCGUAACAAGGUUUCCGUAGGUGAACCUGCGGAAGGAUCAUUAGUGAUUACGAAUGGGUUGCCUUUGGUGCUGGCUCUGCAAGGAGCAAGUGCACGUUGGUGGCUUUCAUCCAAUACCCAUGUGAACCUUUGGCCUCUUGCCAGCUUCGGCAGGCAGAGGAUUUUUUACACACACUCGAAUGUAAUGAAAACAAUUGUCGUGCGCAAGCACUAAUGUACAACUUUCAACAACGGAUCUCUUGGCUCUCGCAUCGAUGAAGAACGCAGCGAAAUGCGAUAAGUAAUGUGAAUUGCAGAAUUCAGUGAAUCAUCGAAUCUUUGAACGCACCUUGCACCCUUUGGCAUUCCGAAGGGUAUGCUCGUUUGAGUGUCAUUGUACUCUCACACUCUCUGAUCUUUUGGAUUUGGGGAGCGGUGGACUUGGGUUUGCUGCUUUCCUCGCAGCUCACCUCAAAUGAAUCAGUGCACCUCUUGGUUGGACAUAGUACGGCGUGAUAAGUGUCUUCGCCGGCACCUCGCAAGAGGGUGGACGAUCGAGAGCUCUGUGCUUUCAAACCGUCUCCGGACAAUCUCUGACAAUCUGACCUCAAAUCGAGUAGGACUACCCGCUGAACUUAA